GACGAACGCUGGCGGCGUGCCUAAUACAUGCAAGUCGAACGCAGUGGGGACGGGUGAGUAACACGUGGGUAACCUCCCAUCAGAGGGGAUAACACUUGGAAACAGGUGCUAAACCGAUACUGAUGGAUGGACCCGCGGUGCAUUAGCUAGUUGGUGAGGUAACGGAUCACCAAGGCCACGAUGCAUAGCCGACCGUAGACGGUGAUCUGCCACACUGGUACUGAGACACGGCCCAGACUCCUACGGUAGGCAGCAGUAGGGAAUCUGCGGCAAUGUCCGAAAGGCUGACCGAGCAACGCCGCGUGAGUGAAGAAGGUUUUCAGAUCGUAAAACUCUGUUGUUAUAGAAGCGGUAUCUAACCAGAAGGCCACGGCUAACUACGUGCCAGCAGCCGCGGUAAUUC
rnacentral:rRNA from 1 species